rnacentral:rRNA from 1 species
ANGCNCUAGGACGAACGCUGGCGGCGUGCCUAACACAUGCAAGUCGAGCGAAGAAGCUCCUUCGGGAGGUUCUUAGCGGCGGACGGGUGAGUAACACGUGGGUAACCUGCCUCAAAGAGGGGGAUAGCCUCCCGAAAGGGAGAUUAAUACCGCAUAAUAAGUGCGGUUCGCAUGAACCGCACUUUAAAGGAGAAAUCCGCUUUGAGAUGGACCCGCGGCGCAUUAGCUAGUUGGUAAGGCAAUGGCUUACCAAGGCAACGAUGCGUAGCCGACCUGAGAGGGUGAACGGCCACAUUGGAACUGAGAGACGGUCCAGACUCCUACGGGAGGCAGCAGUGGGGAAUUUUGCACAAUGGGCGAAAGCCUGAUGCAGCACGCCCGUGAGUGAAAAGGUUUUUUCGGAUUGUAAAAGCUCUGUAUUCGGGGACAAAAAUGACCGGGACCAGAAGGAGGGAAGCCCCGGCUAACUACGUGCCCACCAGCCCCGGUAAAAACCUAAGGUGGAAAGCGUUGUCCCGGAAUUUCCUGGGGGGUAAAAGGGUGCCCAGGGGGAAAUUUUAAAUGAGAAGGGAAAAAACCCCGGGNUUUACUUUGGGCGUGCAUUUUUAAAUUGGAUGUUUGGGGUGGCCGGAAAGGAAAAACGGAAUUUCCUAAUGUAACGGGGAAAAGGGUAAAAAUUAAGAAAAAAAACCAAGGGGGAAGGGGGUUCUCUGGGCUGGUACUGAACCUUAAGGACCAAAGCGGGGGGGGCAAAAGGGUAAAAAUCCUGGGGGUUCCCCCCCUAAACAAAGAAUACUAAGGGGCGGGGGGGUUCCCCCCUCCUGGGGCGCGAUAAAACAAUAUAGUACUCCCCCCCGGGGAGAACCUCUCCCGAAGGGAAAUCAAAGGAAUUGUGGGGGGACCCCCCCACUAGCGGACCAUUUGGUUUUUUUUAAUAUACCCC